CACAGCAACACAAGAGCGUCUGUAGCAACGGUGAAUAAUCCUGUUGCUGGGUUUGCACAUUUUCCUUCACUGCUGGACCAGAACAAUCUUUCUAAACAUAACCCGCUGAAGUGUCACUACUGUAUUUAGUAAAGGUACGUGAUGUCCAGCAGAAAACAGCUGGUGGAGUUUCUGCGCGAAUGGGACCGCGGCGGCGCGGCGGCGCGGAGCCACAUGCUAGAGGUGUUCGUGGGCCGCAGUCUGGGGGAGACCGGCCCGGAGCUGGAGCUGCGCUUCGCCCAAGCGGCCAGUCUGUUUCUGGCCAGACUCACGGCGUGGGUUAGGCUGCACUAUAUGUUUGGGACAUACUUGGGGCUGCAGCUUAGAGCUGUGUCUGUGUUUCUUUCAGCUUCGAACAGUCACCGUUACCUCACUGAGUUUCUUGAAGUGGGAGGGGUUCUUACUCUGUUGGAAAUCUUAAAUCAGAAACAGAUAAAAGAUGAGGAUAAGACAGAAGCCCUCCGUCUAUUGCAGAUCAUUUCCAACGCGGGUCGGAAGUACAAAGAGUUCAUUUGUGAAAACUUCGGAGUCCAAGCCAUCGUGGAAUGUCUGGCCAAGUCCACAUCUGUGGACACCAAGGAGACAGCCAGUGUCCUGCUGGAGUCCCUGGCUCAUGGCAACUAUAAAUACCAGAAGCAGGUCUACAAAGGGCUAGUGGCCUUGCUGCAGUGCACUUCCCCUACGGCUCAGCAACUUGCUCUGCAGAACCUCCGCACUGCACAUAAAAUUGUGAAUUCUGCUCAUCCUAAAAUUAUAGAGCCUUUGUUGAAUAUGCUGAAGUCAUUAAACCUUGAAGUCCAAUAUGAAGCUAUAGAAUUAAUCAGAGAUUUAAUGGCAUAUGAUGAAGUUAAACCAGCUCUUCUGAAGGGUCUGGUCGCUUUGUUGAAACCAGUGAAAAAAGAACCACAGCAAUAUCAAAUCCUUAAAGAUCCUGAAAGAAUCAACAUGACGGCAUCGUUGCCUGUUUUUAUUCAACAAGCAGCUGCAGCAAAAGCUAUAAGGAUGCUGUCGCAGGGCAGCAGUCAGCUGUCACAUGAUCUGCUUCACCAUGAUGUAAUGCAUCAUGUGCUGUAUGCCAUGGGUAACAGGGAGCAUGCAGAUUCCCAGAAGCAGGCCUGCCUGGCUCUGAAGCAAUUUGUCCACACUCACCCAGUCCUGGAGGGGCAUGUACAAGCAGCAAUGGGGGUCACGUUGUUUGACUUGUUCAUGAAUAAUCCUGAGGCUUUGUACAUGAAGAUGAAUGACAUUCAAGCAGAUAUAUUGGUGUCAAACAAAACAAACAUUUCUGAAGGUAAGAAGGUUGUGGGUUCCACACUUAACCUUGUGGUGACAUUCCUUAAUAUCAUUAGUUUAGUUUGCUGCAUCUGUAGUAAGUAAAUCCUGCAAUUUAAUUUCAAUUCUUUAAAAAAAUAGAAAUUAACCUCCGAGAUGGUAUACCUGUCAAAGCAAGGUGUACCCAGCAGUAGGGAUCGUAGGGCUGAGAUAUACAGCAUAUACAUGGCGGAUAUGUGGAUGUAGGCCUGUGGAGCCUGUGGACUCAUGACUGGACCUACCUUUUCAGGGGUCCUAGGCAAGCUUUUGCUGGGAGUCCCCCCUAGCAACACAGUUCUUGAAGAGUGUGCAUGCUGACAGAACUCCCUUAUGUGUUGCAUGCAUUGAAGUACUUGUCAGUAAAUACACAACUGACACUUUGAAGGUCUGUCUUUCUAAUCCUGGCAUUACUUAUAUAAAGUAUAAAGGAGAUGUGUCACUCAAUCCGCAUCGCUAACUGCUUAUUCCAGCCCACCCAACACAAACAAAAGACACAAACACACAGAGAGUGCAGAAGUGGUUAAGACACCCCCCCCCCCAGGAGACAUGAGGCAACACUGUUACGCAUUAAGCCACUGUAUCUCUCAGAAGGAUGCUGUUCGUAGGUAUUGUAAGGUGAUUUACAGACAUCUUGAAUUUGAAAACUCCUCUUGGAUCUUUAUGACCAGGCCCAAAUACAAUCAGUCUUUCUUCAUCCAUGCCUAUGGUUCUGGGCAUCAUUCCUACCAGAGGAAACUUCACAUUCUCCCUGGUGAAACUCAAUUGAAGGAUUACAAAUGCAAUGCAUUUCCCUGCCUUUCUUUUUAAUUAGAAUCUAAUACUGGUUAUAGUUUAUCAUCUGACUUUUAUAAAACAUUUUAUUUGGACCCCAGAAAUAAGUAAUUUAACUACUGAUAUUAUUCAAAUAACAACAAUCCUGCUGCGCUU